GGAGGGGUGGCCGAGCGGCUGAAGGCGGCGGUUUGCUAAACCGUUGUACACUGUAAAGGUGUACCGUGGGUUCGAAUCCCAUCCCCUCCGCCA
rnacentral:tRNA from 1 species